UACGGAGGGGGCAAGCGUUACUCGGAAUUAUUGGGCGUAAAGGGCGCGUAGGCGGUCCUGUGCGUCGGAGGUGAAAUCCCCAGGCUUAACUUGGGGCCUGCCUCCGAAACGGCGAGACUUGAGUCCGGGAGAGGGGAGCAGAAUUCCCAGUGUAGCGGUGAAAUGCGUAGAUACUGGGAGGAAUACCAGUGGCGAAGGCGGCUCCCUGGACCGGUACUGACGCUGAGGCGCGAAAGCGUGGGUAGCAAACAGG
rnacentral:rRNA from 1 species